rnacentral:rRNA from 1 species
AUACCCGCUGAACUUAAGCAU